CUAAUUGCAGCUAAAUCCAAAGGCCACUACUCCAUACUAAUUCUUCUUGACCUCUCUGCUGCCUUUGACACUGUUGAUCAUGGCCUCCUUCUCCUAACUCUUUAAUCUCUUGGUCUCUGUGACACAGCCCUCUCAUGGUUCUCCUCCUAUCUCUCCCAAUGCUCCUUCAGUGUCUCUUUUUACAACGACACCUCCUCUCCUCGUCCAGUCUCAGGUGGAGUCUCUCAAGGUU